UUGAACGCUGGCGGCAGGCCUAACACAUGCAAGUCGAACGGUAACAGAAAGAAGCUUGCUUCUUUGCUGACGAGUGGCGGACGGGUGAGUAAUGUCUGGGAAACUGCCUGAUGGAGGGGGAUAACUACUGGAAACGGUAGCUAAUACCGCAUAACGUCGCAAGACCAAAGAGGGGGACCUUCGGGCCUCUUGCCAUCGGAUGUGCCCAGAUGGGAUUAGCUUGUUGGUGGGGUAACGGCUCACCAAGGCGACGAUCCCUAGCUGGUCUGAGAGGAUGACCAGCCACACUGGAACUGAGACACGGUCCAGACUCCUACGGGAGGCAGCAGUGGGGAAUAUUGCACAAUGGGCGCAAGCCUGAUGCAGCCAUGCCGCGUGUAUGAAGAAGGCCUUCGGGUUGUAAAGUACUUUCAGCGGGGAGGAAGGGAGUAAAGUUAAUACCUUUGCUCAUUGACGUUACCCGCAGAAGAAGCACCGGCUAACUCCGUGCCAGCAGCCGCGGUAAUACGGAGGGUGCAAGCGUUAAUCGGAAUUACUGGGCGUAAAGCGCACGCAGGCGGUUUGUUAAGUCAGAUGUGAAAUCCCCGGGCUCAACCUGGGAACUGCAUCUGAUACUGGCAAGCUUGAGUCUCGUAGAGGGGGGUAGAAUUCCAGGUGUAGCGGUGAAAUGCGUAGAGAUCUGGAGGAAUACCGGUGGCGAAGGCGGCCCCCUGGACGAAGACUGACGCUCAGGUGCGAAAGCGUGGGGAGCAAACAGGAUUAGAUACCCUGGUAGUCCACGCCGUAAACGAUGUCGACUUGGAGGUUGUGCCCUUGAGGCGUGGCUUCCGGAGCUAACGCGUUAAGUCGACCGCCUGGGGAGUACGGCCGCAAGGUUAAAACUCAAAUGAAUUGACGGGGGCCCGCACAAGCGGUGGAGCAUGUGGUUUAAUUCGAUGCAACGCGAAGAACCUUACCUGGUCUUGACAUCCACAGAACUUUCCAGAGAUGGAUUGGUGCCUUCGGGAACUGUGAGACAGGUGCUGCAUGGCUGUCGUCAGCUCGUGUUGUGAAAUGUUGGGUUAAGUCCCGCAACGAGCGCAACCCUUAUCCUUUGUUGCCAGCGGUCCGGCCGGGAACUCAAAGGAGACUGCCAGUGAUAAACUGGAGGAAGGUGGGGAUGACGUCAAGUCAUCAUGUCCCUUACGACCAGGGCUACACACGUGCUACAAUGGCGCAUACAAAGAGAAGCGACCUCGCGAGAGCAAGCGGACCUCAUAAAGUGCGUCGUAGUCCGGAUUGGAGUCUGCAACUCGACUCCAUGAAGUCGGAAUCGCUAGUAAUCGUGGAUCAGAAUGCCACGGUGAAUACGUUCCCGGGCCUUGUACACACCGCCCGUCACACCAUGGGAGUGGGUUGCAAAAGAAGUAGGUAGCUUAACCUUCGGGAGGGCGCUUACCACUUUGUGAUUCAUGACUGGGGUG
rnacentral:rRNA from 1 species